UACGUAGGUGGCAAGCGUUGUCCGGAAUUAUUGGGCGUAAAGCGCGCGCAGGUGGUUUCUUAAGUCUGAUGUGAAAGCCCACGGCUCAACCGUGGAGGGUCAUUGGAAACUGGGGAACUUGAGUACAGAAGAGGAAAGUGGAAUUCCACGUGUAGCGGUGAAAUGCGUAGAGAUGUGGAGGAACACCAGUGGCGAAGGCGACUUUCUGGUCUGUAACUGACACUGAGGCGCGAAAGCGUGGGGAGCAAACAGG
rnacentral:rRNA from 1 species